GACGAACGCUGGCGGCGUGCUUAACACAUGCAAGUCGAACGAUGAAGCCGGAGCUUGCUCUGGUGAAUUAGUGGCGAACGGGUGAGUAACACGUGAGUAACCUGCCCUUGACUCUGGGAUAACUGCGGGAAACUGUAGCUAAUACCGGAUACGACCCUCGGAGGCAUCUCCUGGGGGUGGAAAGAAUUUCGGUCAAGGAUGGACUCGCGGCCUAUCAGCUAGUUGGCGAGGUAAAGGCUCACCAAGGCGACGACGGGUAGCCGGCCUGAGAGGGUUAGCUGCUACACUGGGGCUGAGACACGGCCCAGACUCCUACGGGAGGCAGCAGUGUGGAAUAUUGCACAAUGGGCGCAAGCCUAAUGCAGCGACGCCGCGUGAGGGAUGACGGCCUUCGGGUUGUAAACCUCUUUUAGCAGGGAAGAAGCGAAAGUGACGGUACCUGCAGAAAAAGCACCGGCUAACUACGUGCCAGCCGCCGCGGUAA
rnacentral:rRNA from 1 species